UACGUAGGGUGCAAGCGUUGUCCGGAAUUAUUGGGCGUAAAGAGCUCGUAGGCGGUCUGUCGCGUCUGCUGUGAAAACUCGGGGCUUAACCCCGGGCCUGCAGUGGGUACGGGCAGACUAGAGUGCGGUAGGGGAGACUGGAAUUCCUGGUGUAGCGGUGAAAUGCGCAGAUAUCAGGAGGGAACACCGGUGGGCGAAGGCGGGGUCUCUGGGCCGUAACUGACGCUGGAGGAGCGAAAAGCGUGGGGAGCGAACAGG
rnacentral:rRNA from 1 species